rnacentral:rRNA from 1 species
UACAGAGGGUGCGAGCGUUAAUCGGAAUCACUGGGCGUAAAGAGUGCGUAGGUGGGUAGUGACGUGUGAUGUGAAAUCCCUGGGCUUAACCUGGGAAUGGCAUCGCAAACUGACUGUCUAGAGGUCAAAAGAGGUGAGUGGAAUUUCCGGUGUAGCAGUGAAAUGCGUAGAGAUCGGAAGGAACACCCGAGGCGAAGGCGGCUCACUGGUUUGAACCUGACACUGAGGCACGAAAGCGUGGGGAGCAAACAGG